rnacentral:lncRNA from 1 species
CCAAAAGUAAUGUCUCAAAUCAAAGAAGAAUUUCUUCUUUUGCUGGUAUGUGAAACUAGGUGGUAUAUAUUUGGCAACGAUAUAAUUUGCAUAAUCAGCAUACCAUGGUGCACUACGUGAAGUAUUGAUGACAUUCAGUUGCUCAUCAGGAAAGCUAUCAUCAAUAGGUUGUGGGUCAUCAAGAACAUUCUCCAACCUAGACAAGUUAUCUGCUACUGGGUUCUCAGCACCCUU